rnacentral:rRNA from 1 species
GUAGUCCAUGCCGUAAACGUUGGGCACUAGGUGUGGGGGACAUUCCACGUUUUCCGCGCCGUAGCUAACGCAUUAAGUGCCCCGCCUGGGGAGUACGGCCGCAAGGCUAAAACUCAAAGGAAUUGACGGGGGCCCGCACAAGCGGCGGAGCAUGCGGAUUAAUUCGAUGCAACGCGAAGAACCUUACCAAGGCUUGACAUGGACUGGAAAUACCUGGAGACAGGUGCCCCGCUUGCGGCCGGUUCACAGGUGGUGCAUGGUUGUCGUCAGCUCGUGUCGUGAGAUGUUGGGUUAAGUCCCGCAACGAGCGCAACCCUCGUUCUAUGUUGCCAGCGCGUAAUGGCGGGGACUCAUAGGAGACUGCCGGGGUCAACUCGGAGGAAGGUGGGGACGACGUCAAAUCAUCAUGCCCCUUAUGUCUUGGGCUUCACGCAUGCUACAAUGGCCGGUACAAAGGGUUGCGAUACUGUGAGGUGGAGCUAAUCCCAAAAAGCCGGUCUCAGUUCGGAUUGGGGUCUGCAACUCGACCCCAUGAAGUCGGAGUCGCUAGUAAUCGCAGAUCAGCAACGCUGCGGUGAAUA